rnacentral:rRNA from 1 species
AGAGCGAACGCUGGCGGCAGGCCUAACACAUGCAAGUCGAGCGCCCGUAGCAAUACGGGAGCGGCAGACGGGAUAGUAACACGUGGGAACGCGCCCUUCGGUUCGGAAUAACUCAGGGAAACUUGAGCUAAUACCGAAUACGCCCUUACGGGGAAAGAUUUAUUGCCGAAGGAACGGCCCGCGUCCGAUUAGCUAGUUGGUGAGGUAAUGGCUCACCAAGGCUACGAUCGGUAGCUGGUCUGAGAGGAUGACCAGCAUCACUGGGACUGAGACACGGCCCAGACUCCUACGGGAGGCAGCAGUGGGGAAUAUUGGACAAUGGGCGAAAGCCUGAUCCAGCCAUGCCGCGUGGAUGAUGAAGGCCUUAGGGUUGUAAAGUCCUUUUAACGGGGAGAUAAUGACGGUACCGUAGAAUAAGCCCGGCUAACUUCGUGCCAGCAGCCGC